GCAGGUGGACAUCUGACGGUCCUGAAGCUCUCCGAUAUAUUUUCUCUGACGCGUUCUGGCACGUCGAGUGGAACAUCGGACAUCGUGCCAAGCAACGCGGAACAACCCGAAAACACAUCAGAGAGCUGCAAAUAAAUCAGAUGUCCGGUAGUAUGGUGUUGGUCUGCUCGCCCCGAAUGGAUGGAUGAUGAACGGCGUGCCAUCCCCCCCAUUCACUCUCUUCUCGUCGCCUCGGCAAAACACGCACUUGGACGCACGCGUUCUCUGGUAGCCGCGCAAUAUCUGUCGCUUUGAGAGUUUGCAGAGGGCGGUGAGGCGGUGGCGUGACAGGCUGCCAAACUGAGCUCUCGAUUGACCAGCAGCUUACACGCGGAGAGGUCGGGCAGAGGAGAGGAGUGGCAGGCGAAAUCGCACGGACCGUCAAGAGAUGGUGACGGAAGCGAGUGGAUUGACCAUGGAUUGAUCACGGCCAAUGUUGAUGAUGCACGGCCGAUGUUGAUGAUGCACGGUAACAUGGUUUCUCUCCUUCGCCAUCGUACGUGGACAUGGCGAGUACAUCUGGGUGGCUCUUGCGAGGGGGCGACGCAUCCCUAGCAGAAGCCACCUCAUUCUCCUCCUCCUCCUCCUGCUGCUGCUGUCGCGGCUGCUGCGGUUGC